rnacentral:rRNA from 1 species
AGUCGAGCGGUAACAUUUCUAGCUUGCUAGAAGAUGACGAGCGGCGGACGGGUGAGUAACGCGUAGGAAUCUACCUAUUGGUGGGGGAUAGCCCAGGGAAACUUGGAUUAAUACCGCAUAAGCUCUUAGGAGGAAAGCGGGGGAUCUUCGGACCUCGUGCCAAUAGAUGAGCCUGCGUAAGAUUAGCUAGAUGGUGGGGUAAUGGCCUACCAUGGCGACGAUCUUUAGCUGGUCUGAGAGGAUGAUCAGCCACACCGGGACUGAGACACGGCCCGGACUCCUACGGGAGGCAGCAGUGGGGAAUAUUGGACAAUGGGGGGAACCCUGAUCCAGCCAUGCCGCGUGUGUGAAGAAGGCCUUUUGGUUGUAAAGCACUUUAAGUAGUGAAGAAGAAGUCAUGGUUAAUACCCAUGAUGGAUGACAUUAGCUGCAGAAUAAGCACCGGCUAACUCUGUGCCAGCAGCCGCGGUAAUACAGAGGGUGCGAGCGUUAAUCGGAAUUACUGGGCGUAAAGCGAGCGUAGGUGGCUUAAUAAGUCAGAUGUGAAAUCCCCGGGCUUAACCUGGGAACUGCAUCUGAAACUGUUCGGCUAGAGUACGGUAGAGGAAGGUGGAAUUCCCGGUGUAGCGGUGGAAUGCGCAGAUAUCGGGAGGAACACCAGUAGCGAAGGCGGCCUUCUGGGCCGGUACUGACGCUGAGGAGCGAAAGCGUGGGGAGCAAACAGGAUUAGAUACCCUGGUAGUCCACGCCGUAAACGUUGGGAACUAGGUGUGGCGAUCUGAUCAACGAUUGCCGUGCCGAAGCUAACGCAUUAAGUUCCCCGCCUGGGGAGUACGGCCGCAAGGCUAAAACUCAAAGGAAUUGACGGGUCCCCGCACAAGCGGCGGA